UAAGGAAUAUUGGUCAAUGGAGGCAACUCUGAACCAGCCAUGCCGCGUGCAGGAAGAAUGCCCUCUGGGUUGUAAACUGCUUUUAUCAGGGAAUAAACCCUUCUACGUGUAGGAGGCUGAAUGUACCUGAGGAAUAAGGAUCGGCUAACUCCGUGCCAGCAGCCGCGGUAAUACGGAGGAUCCAAGCGUUAUCCGGAUUUAUUGGGUUUAAAGGGUGCGUAGGCGGCUUAUUAAGUCAGGGGUGAAAGACGGUGGCUCAACCAUCGCAGUGCCUUUGAUACUGAUGAGCUUGAAUAUACUUGAGGUAGGCGGAAUGUGACAAGUAGCGGUGAAAUGCAUAGAUAUGUCACAGAACACCGAUUGCGAAGGCAGCUUACCAAGGUAUGAUUGACGCUGAGGCACGAAAGCGUGGGGAUCAAACAGG
rnacentral:rRNA from 1 species